AUGAACGCUGGCGGCGUGUCUAAGGCAUGCAAGUUGAACGCCCCGACGCAAGUCGGGGAGUGGCAAACGGGAGAGUAACACAUUGAUAACUUACCCCGAGGUCGUGAAUAAUCCUGCGAAAGCGGGCCUAAUACGCGAUGAAAGUGGGGGGCCAAAAGGCAUUCCCACUUAAAGCUCCGGCGCCUCGGGAGAGGUCUAUGGCCUAUCAGCUUGUUGGUGAGGUAAAAGCUCACCAAGGCUACGACGGGUAGCGGUUCUGAGAGGAUGAUCCGCCACACUGGUACUGAGACACGGACCAGACUCCUACGGGAGGCAGCAGUGAGGAAUAUUGCACAAUGGGGGGAACCCUGAUGCAGCAACGCCGCGUGGAGGAUGACGCAUUUCGGUGUGUAAACUCCUUUUAUAUGUCAAGAAAAUGACGGUAGCAUAUGAAUAAGCACCGGCUAACUCCGU
rnacentral:rRNA from 1 species